AUUGAACGCUGGCGGCAGGCUUAACACAUGCAAGUCGAGCGGAGAUGAGGUGCUUGCACCUUAUCUUAGCGGCGGACGGGUGAGUAAUGCUUAGGAAUCUGCCUAUUAGUGGGGGACAACAUUCCGAAAGGAAUGCUAAUACCGCAUACGCCCUACGGGGGAAAGCAGGGGAUCUUCGGACCUUGCGCUAAUAGGUGAGCCUAAGUCGGAUUAGCUAGUUGGUGGGGUAAAGGCCUACCAAGGCGACGAUCUGUAGCGGGUCUGAGAGGAUGAUCCGCCACACUGGGACUGAGACACGGCCCAGACUCCUGCGGGAGGCAGCAGUGGGGAAUAUUGGACAAUGGGCGGAAGCCUGAUCCGGCCAUGCCGCGUGUGUGAAGAAGGCCUUUUGGUUGUAAAGCACUUUAAGCGAGGAGGAGGCUACCUGGAUUAAUACUCUAGGAUAGUGGACGUUACUCGCAGAAUAAGCACCGGCUAACUCUGUGCCAGCCGCCGCCGUAAGAC
rnacentral:rRNA from 1 species